UACGGGGGGGGCAAGCGUUGUUCGGAAUUACUGGGCGUAAAGGGCUCGUAGGUGGCCAACUAAGUCAGACGUGAAAUCCCUCAGCUUAACUGGGGAACUGCGUCUGAUACCGGAUGGCUUGAGAUUGGGAGAGGGAUGCGGAAUUCCAGGUGUAGCGGUGAAAUGCGCAGAUAUCAGGAAGAACACCAAUGGCGAAAGCAGCUCUCUGGGACGGUACUGACGCUGAGACGCGAAAGCGUGGGGAGCGAACAGG
rnacentral:rRNA from 1 species